CAGAACGUAGCUAAAACAGUAUAGCAUUUCCCUUACACUGAUAAAUUCCCCGUGCAAUUCGGAGCGUUCUGA
rnacentral:tRNA from 1 species